rnacentral:rRNA from 1 species
UCCGUAGCCGGGUUGUUAAGUCUCUUGGGAAAUCCAACGGCUCAACCGUUGGGCGUUCAAGGGAUACUGGCAAUCUAGGGACCGGGGGAGGUGAGAGGUACUCUAGGGGUAGGAGUGAAAUCCUGUAAUCCUUUGGGGACCACCUGUGGCGAAGGCGUCUCACCAGAACGGCUCCGACGGUGAGGGACGAAAGCUGGGGGAGCAAACCGGAUUAGAUACCCGGGUAGUCCCAGCUGUAAACGAUGCGCGUUAGGUGUAUCGGUGACUACGAGUCACCGAGGUGCCGAAGGGAAACCGUGAAACGUGCCGCCUGGGAAGUACGGUCGCAAGGCUGAA